GUUUUUUCACACUAUAAAGUGAUCAAACAAUUUAUUUCUAAAUUCAUAAAAGAAAAAAAUAUGGCUAAAGUUUAUAUAUUCAUUUGUGCUAUUAUUAUCAUUUUUUCCCUAUUUAUUUCAAUAACAAACUGUAUAGAACGACUGCCUUGCGAAAAGGAUUGGGAUUGUCCAAGAGAUUUGUGUUUGCUUCCUGAUAUUCCAAGAUGCAUGCAUCAAAUGUGUGGAUGUGCCAAAGAAGCCAUAAAAGUUGCUUAAAAAAAAAAAAAACAGAAGCCAUAAAAGUUAAUUAAAAAUAUAGUAUAUUAUGUUAUUUCUACCCAUAUGAUAAUGUUGGUGGUGCCUUUAUGAUUUAUUUCACAGUUAUGUAUUUUUUUCCUUUUCUGAUCUUUAAAUUUCAUUGAUGUAUGCAAAAGUUCUAUUAUAAUAAUUAUCAUAAGUAUAAUUAUAUAUAAUUAAAUAAUUUUUAAUAUUUUACAA